rnacentral:rRNA from 1 species
GCAGCCUGCAACUCGGCUGCAUGAAGCCGGAAUCGCUAGUAAUCGCGGAUCAGAACGCCGCGGUGAAUACGUUCCCGGGUCUUGUACACACCGCCCGUCACACCAUGGGAGUCGGGAAUGCCCGAAGUCGGUGAGCCAACGAAAGAGGCAGCCGCCGAAGGCAGGCCCGGUAACUGGGGUGAAGUCGUAACAAGGUAUC